GGAGACAUAGCUCAUUGGUAGAGUAUCUGCCUAGCAGGCACAAGGUCCUAAGUUCAAACCCCAGUACCACCA
rnacentral:tRNA from 1 species